rnacentral:rRNA from 1 species
UACGUAGGUGGCAAGCGUUGUCCGGAUUUAUUGGGUUUAAAGGGUGCGUAGGCGGCUUUGUAAGUCAGUGGUGAAAUAUGGCAGCUUAACUGUCAGGGUGCCAUUGAUACUGCAGAGCUUGAGUACAGAUGAGGUAGGCGGAAUUGACGGUGUAGCGAUGAAAUGCUUAGAUAUCGUCAAGAACACCUAUAGCGAAGGCAGCUUACUAGGCUGUAACUGACGCUGAGGCACGAAAGUGUGGGGAUCAAACAGG